UAGUACUCACUUUAGCAACUAAUAUACCAAAAUUGAUGUAAUACAGAGAAGAUUAGCAUGUCUCUUACACAAGGAUGACACACAAAUUGGUGAAGUAUUCUGUAUAUUA